rnacentral:rRNA from 1 species
AAAAGAAACUUACGAGGAUUCCCCUAGUAACGGCGAGCGAACCGGGAGCAGCCCAGCUUGAGAAUCGGACGGCCCUGUCGCCCGAAUUGUAGUCUGUAGAAGCGCACUCAGCGACGGACCGGGCCCAAGUCCACUGGAAGGUGGCGCCGGAGAGGGUGACAGCCCCGUCGUGCCCGGACCCUGUCGCAUUGCGAGGCGCUGUCGGCGAGUCGGGUUGUUUGGGAAUGCAGCCCCAAUCGGGCGGUAAAUUCCGUCCAAGGCUAAAUACUGGCGAGGGACCGAUAGCGAACAAGUACCGCGAGGGAAAGAUGAAAAGGACUUUGAAAAGAGAGUCAAAGAGUGCUUGAAAUUGCCGGGAGGGAAGCGGAUGGGGGCCGGCGAUGCGCCUCGGUCGGAUGCGGAACGGCCUCAAGCCGGUCCGCCGCUCGGCUCGGGGCGCGGACUGUUGCGGGCCGCGGCGGCGGCCUAAGCCCGUGCGGAAGAUCCCGCGCGGGACGAACCGUCGCCUCGGUCGGGGAGAGUGGCACGCGCCUCGUCGGCGUGCCUUCGGGCACCGGCGUGCUCACGGCAACGGCCAGCGGG